rnacentral:lncRNA from 1 species
UCGCAACACCUACGGCUUCCACUAGAUGUCAACGAUCUUUCUAAAGUUGUUUGAAGCGUCUAUGAUAAACAGAGAGCAAAUUAGAAUCCAAGGAAGUUGACAUGUCAUCACUUCAUUUUUUUGCGCCUGCGCAUAAAUCUGAGAAGCGUGAGUUUUCAUCAUUGUUUAUCUAGACAUAGAAUAGGUUGUGUGAAAAUAUUACUGAUGUUUAACGUUAAAAAUGGACCAAAAGAUUAAUGCUAAACAACAUUUGACAUGUUUGAACGAACAUAAAUAGAUUAUUUACUAGGUUUUUUUAGCUUUUCGGCGUGAUUUUACACUCCCCCCACCACGUUUUGUGGGAGCAUAAUGAACGCUAAGUACUUGGUGUUAUUUGGACAUAAAUUAUGAACUUUGUCAAAAGAAACCACAUUUGUUCCGGACCUGGGAUGCCUUCCGGACCUGGGAUGCCUGCCUUCUGAUGGAGAUAAUCAAAGACAGAACCCUGAUGACUGGAGAGACGUCAACAGAACCCUGAUGACUGGAGAGAGGUCAACAGAACCCUGAUGACUGGAGAGAGGUCAACAGAACCCUGAUGACUGGAGAGAGGUCAACAGAACCCUGAUGACUGGAGAGAGGUCAACAGAACCCUGAUGACUGGAGAGACAUCAACAGAACCCUGAUGACUGGAGAGAGGUCAACAGAACCCUGAUGACUGGAGAGAGGUCAACAGAACCCUGAUGACUGGAGAGACGUCAACAGAACCCUGAUGACUGGAGAGAGGUCAACAGAACCCUGAUGACUGGAGAGACGUCAACAGAACCCUGAUGACUGGAGAGACGUCAACAGAACCCUGAUGACUGGAGAGACGUCAACAGAACCCUGAUGACUGGAGAGAGGUCAACAGAACCCUGAUGACUGGAGAGAGGUCAACAGAACCCUGAUGACUGGAGAGACGUCAACAGAACCCUGAUGACUGGAGUUUAAGAUCAAACUAAAUGCCUCACCUCUUCUGCUCCUUGCUAGAGAGGUUUUGGGUUGGCUACUUCGCUAUGCUAUAUCAUGUCAUCUUUUUCCAUUUCAAUGUUUAAGAAGAUGAGAAAAAAGAAGGAACCCGCACAUUGCUUUUGACAGUAUCACUGCUCUUUAAUAAGCUUUGCGUAUCGGCCUCACAGCCUUUCACGGCCUCACGGUUUCAAGGCCUCUCACAGCCUUUCACGGCCUCUCACAGCCUUUUACGGUCUCUCACAGCCUCACGGUUUCACGGCCUCUCACAGCCUUUCACGGCCUCUCACAGACUCACGGUUUCACAGCCUCUCACAGCCUUUCACGGCCUCUCACAGCCUCACGGUUUCACGGCCUCUCACAGCCUUUCACGGCCUCUCACAGCCUCACGGUUUCACGGCCUCUCACAGCCUUUCACGGCCUCUCACAGGCUUUCACGGCCUCUCACAGCCUCACGGUUUCACGGCCUCUCACAGCCUUUCACGGCCUCUCACAGCCUCACGGUUUCACGGCCUCUCACAGCCUUUCACGGCCUCUCACAGCCUCACGGUUUCACAGCCUCUCACAGCCUUUCACGGCCUCUCACAGCCUCACGGUUUCACAGCCUCUCACAGCCUUUCACGGCCUCUCACAGCCUCACGGUUUCACGGCCUCUCACAGUCUUUCACGGCCUCUCACAGCCUCACGGUUUCACAGCCUCUCACAGCCUUUCACGCCUCUCACAGUCUCACGGUUUCACGUCCUCUCACAGCUUUUCACGGCCUCUCACAGCCUCACGGUUUCACGGCCUCUCACAGCCUUUCACGGCCUCUCACAGCCUCACGGUUUCACAGCCUCUCACAGCCUUUCACGGCCUCUCACAGUCUCACGGUUUCACGUCCUCUCACAGCUUUUCACGGCCUCUCACAGCCUCACGGUUUCACGGCCUCUCACAGCCUUUCACGGCCUUUCCUUAUUUUUUUCUAGUUUUAUUCAACUGCACCUGCAGGAAAGAUGUGUUAGUUCCUUAUGAAUUUUGAAUGUUUAAGAAGAUGUUCAUUGGCUGUGACUGAAUCCAAUAAUAUUUGAUACAUUUAUCAUUCCUUUUGAUUCAUAAAGAGUGUUUCUGUGUGUUUGGUAGCGUAAACAUGUUAACAUCCCAGAGGCCAUAGUCCAAAAACUGUGAACAUUCUCUUUUAUGUAGAGGGGAGUUAGAUAGAUAACACAAUGUACCUGAAAUCACCUCAACUGUCUGUCUCCAUUAGGAGUCUAUUAUAUCAAGGGCAAUAUGGGCUAUAACAAGCCUUAAAGAAAAGACAUGGGAGAAAUCAAAAACCUUCAGUAAUGACAGCAUGGAGUUAAAUCAACAGUCCAUUCAUUCUAACAAAUGCAUGGAGUUAAAUCAACAGUCCAUUCAUUCUAAUGACAGCAUGGAGUUAAAUCAACAGUCCAUUCAUUCUAACGUCAGCAUGGAGUUAAAUCAACAGUCCAUUCAUUCUAAUGAUAGCUACCUGCCUCCCCCCCAUCUAACCACUAGGCUACCUGCUCUAACCACUAGGCUACCUGCCCUAACCACUAGGCUACCUGCCUCCCCCCUCUAACCACUAAGCUACAUGCCUCCCUCCUCUAACCACUGGGCUACCUCCUCUAACCACUAGGUUACCUGCCUCCCCCCUCUAACCACUAGGUUACCUGCCUCCCCCCUCUAACCACUAGGCUACCUGCUCUAACCACUAGGUUACCUGCCUCCCCCCUCUAACCACUAGGCUACCUGCUCUAACCACUAGGCUACCUGCCUCCCUCCUCUAACCACUAGGCUACCUGCAUCCCUCCUCUAACCACUAGGCUUCCUGCCCUAACCACUAGGCUACCUGCCUCCCCCCUCUCUAACCACUAGGCUACCUGCUCUAACUACUAGGCUACCUGCACUAACCACUAGGCUACCUGCUCUAACCACUAGGCUACCUGCCUCCCCCCUCUAACCACUAAGCUACCUGCCUCCCUCCUCUAACCACUGGGCUACCUCCUCUAACCACUAGGUUACCUGCCUCCCCCCUCUAACCACUAGGCUACCUGCUUUAACCACUAGGUUACCUGCCUCCCCCCUCUAACCACUAGACUACCUGCCUCCCCCUCUAACCACUAGGCUACCUGCUCUAACCAUUAGGUUACCUGCCUCUCCCCUCUAACCACUAGGCUACCUGCUCUAACCACUAGGUUACCUGCCUCCCCCCUCUAACCACUAGGUUACCUGCCUUCCCCUUCUAACCACUAGGCUACCUGCCUUCCCCCUCUAACCACUAGGCUACCUGCCCUAACCACUAGGCUAUCUGUCUCCCCACUCUAACCACUAGGUUACCUGCCUCCCCCCUCUAACCACUAGGUUACCUGCCUCCCCCCUCUAACCACUAGGUUACCUGCCUUCCCCCUCUAACCACUAGGCUACCUGCCUCCCUCCUCUAACCACUAGGCUACCUGUCUCCCCACUCUAACCACUAGGUUACCUGCCUCCCCCCUCUAACCACUAGGUUACCUGCCUCCCCACUCUAACCACUAGGUUACCUGCCUUCCCCCUCUAACCACUAGGCUACCUGCCCAAACCACUAGGCUACCUGUCUCCCCCCUCUAACCACUAGGCUACCUGCCUCCCCCUUCUAACCACUAGGCUACCUGCCUCCACUCUCUAACCACUAGGCUACCUGCCCUAACCACUAGGCUUCCUGCCUCCCUACCCUAACCACUAGGCUACCUGCUCUAACCACUAGGUUACCUGCCUCCCCCCUCUAACCACAAGGCUACCUGCUCUAACCACCAGGUUACCUGCCCCCCCCUCUAACCACUAGGUUACCUGCCCUCCCCCUCUAACCACUAGGCUACCUGCCUUCCCCCUCUAACCACUAGGCUACCUGCUCUAACCACUAGGUUACCUGCCUCCCCCUUCUAACCACGAGGUUUUCUGCCUUCCCCCUCUAACCACUAGGCUACCUGCUCUAACCACUAGGUUACAUGCCCUAACCACUAGGCUACCUGCUCUAACCACUAGGCUACCUGCCCCCCCCUAACCACUAGGCUACCUGCUCCAACCACUAGGCUACCUGCCCUAACCACUAGGCUACCUGCCCUAACCACUAGGCUACCUGCCUCCCUCCUCUAACCACUAGGCUACCUGCCUCCCACCUCUAACCACUAGGCUACCUGCCUCCCCCCUCUAACCACUAGGCUACCUGCCCUAACCACUAGGCUACCUGCCUCCCCCCUCUAACCACUAGGCUACCUGCCCUAACCACUAGGCUACCUGCCUCCCUCCCCUAACCACUAGGCUACCUGCUCUAACCACUAGGCUACCUGCCCCCCCCUAACCACUAGGCUACCUGCUCCAACCACUAGGCUACCUGCCCUAACCACUAGGCUACCUGCCCUAACCACUAGGCUACCUGCCUCCCUCCUCUAACCACUAGGCUACCUGCCUCCCACCUCUAACCACUAGGCCACCUGCCUCCCCCCUCUAACCACUAGGCUACCUGCCCUAACCACUAGGCUACCUGCCUCCCCCCUCUAACCACUAGGCUUCCUGCCCUAACCACUAGGCGACCUGCCUCCCUCCCCUAACCACUAGGCUACCUGCCCUAACCACUAGGCUACCUGCCUCCCUCCUCUAACCACUAGGCUACCUGCAUCCCUCCUCUAACCACUAGGCUUCCUGCCCUAACCACUAGGCUACCUGCCUCCCCCCUCCUCUAACCACUAGUCUACCUGCUCUAACUACUAGGCUACCUGCACUAACCACUAGGCUACCUGUUCUAACCACUAGGCUACCUGCCUCCCCCCUCUAACCACUAAGCUACCUGCCUCCCUCCUCUAACCACUGGGCUACCUCCUCUAACCACUAGGUUACCUGCCUCCCCCCUCUAACCACUAGGCUACCUGCUCUAACCACUAGGUUACCUGCCUCCCCCCUCUAACCACUAGGUUACCUGCCUUCCCCCUCUAACCACUAGGCUACCUGCCUCCCUCCUCUAACCACUAGGUUACCUGCCUUCCCCCUCUAACCACUAGGCUACCUGCCUCCCCCCUCUAACCACUAGGCUACCUGCUCUAACCACUAGGUUACCUGCCUCCCCACUCUAACCACCAGGUUACCUGCCUUCCCCCUCUAACCACUAGGCUACCUGCCUCCCUCCUCUAACCACUCGGUUACCUGCCUUCCCCCUCUAACCACUAGGCUACCUGCCUCCCCCCUCUAACCACUAGGCUACCUGCCUCCCCCUCUAACCACUAGGCUACCUGCUCUAACCACUAGGUUACCUGCCUCCCCCCUCUAACCACUAGGCUACCUGCUCUAACCACUAGGUUACCUGCCUCCCCCCUCUAACCACUAGGUUACCUGCCUUCCCCCUCUAACCACUAGGCUACCUGCCUCCCCCCUCUAACCACUAGGCUACCUGCUCUAACCAUUAGGUUACCUGCCUCCCCCCUCUAACCACUAGGCUACCUGCUCUAACCACUAGGUUACCUGCCUCCCCCUCUAACCACUAGGUUACCUGCCUUCCCCCUCUAACCACUAGGCUACCUGCCUUCCCCCUCUAACCACUAGGCUACCUGCCCUAACCACUAGGCUACCUGUCUCCCCCUCUAACCACUAGGCUACCUGCCUCCCCCCUCUAACCACUAGGCUACCUGCCCUAACCACUAGGCUACCUGCCUCCCUCCCCUAACCACUAGGCUACCUGCUCUAACCACUAGGCUACCUGCCUUCCUCCGCUAACCACUAG